GACGAACGCUGGCGGCGUGCCUAAUACAUGCAAGUAGAACGCUGAAGGGAGAGCUUGCUCUUCUGGAUGAGUUGCGAACGGGUGAGUAACGCGUAGGUAACCUGCCUGGUAGCGGGGGAUAACUAUUGGAAACGAUAGCCAAUACCGCAUAACAUUGACUAUUGCAUGAUAGUCAAUUGAAAGGUGCAAAUGCACCACUACCAGAUGGACCUGCGUUGUAUUAGCUAGUUGGUGGGGUAACGGCUCACCAAGGCGACGAUACAUAGCCGACCUGAGAGGGUGAUCGGCCACACUGGGACUGAGACACGGCCCAGACUCCUACGGGAGGCAGCAGUAGGGAAUCUUCGGCAAUGGACGGAAGUCUGACCGAGCAACGCCGCGUGAGUGAAGAAGGUUUUCGGAUCGUAAAGCUCUGUUGUAAGAGAAGAACGAGUGUGAGAGUGGAAAGUUCACACUGU
rnacentral:rRNA from 1 species